rnacentral:lncRNA from 1 species
CUGGGCGGGGCGAUCGGCGCGGAAGGAGUGUCGGGCCCGGGGGCGGGAGCAGGGCGUCCAGCGGAGAAGGCAGAGGAGGGGAGAUGCGGGCUCCUCCAGGUAGCGCAGGAGCCCCUCCGGCUGCCGGAGCCCCGCGAGGGCGCGAGUGGAGGGCAGGAGCCCGGGCGGCGGAGGAGCGGAAGGGAUGCUGCGUUGCCUUGGAGUGUCAGGGUGGGGGAGGAAAGACCAAGGGACCCACGUCCUUCGCCCCCGCCGCGGAGUCCCGGGCCGGCGAGACUUCCGCAGCCUGCCCAGCGCCGGGGACCUAGGGCUUUGCAGGAGUCCGCCCGGGAGCUCUAUCAGAGCGGGCGUCCUCCCCGCCGCUCCAAAGGUGGCUUGGGGCAGGUGGGGCGUCCCGGAGGGAAUGGAGGGACCCUGCCUAGGGAAGGUCUUCUCUGAAAGAGGCCAAACAAGUUUUUAAAAGUUUAAGAAAAUCGAACAGAGGAGGAGAAAAAUAAAGCCACAAAUAUGGAAUCAUGGAAUAAUGAUUCCGUAAUAAUGGCCCACCAUAAUUGACGGGCCAAUCCCUUUAUCCAAGGCAUGUGUUGUUUGUUUGUUUGUUUGUUUUGAGAUGGAAUCUCACUCUGUUGCCCAGGCUGGAGUGCAAUGACAUGAUCUCGGCUCACUGCAACCUCCACCUCCCAGGUUCAAGUGAUUCUCCUGCCUCAGCCUCCCAAAUAGCUGGGAUUACAGACACCCGCCACCACACAUGGCUAAUUUUUGUAUUUUUAGUAGAGACUGGGUUUCACCAUGUUGGCUAGGCUGGUCUUGAACUCCUGACCUCAGGUGAUCCACCCACCUCAGCCUCCCAGAGUGUUGGGAUUACAGGCAUGAGCCACCGUGCCCAGCCAAGACAUGUAUUCUUACGCUUGAGAUAGAACAGGUCUACCAGCAUUGAAUAGAAAUCAGGGAGUGCUCACUGUUUGGAAGAGAAGGCAGACAAUGAAACUGGGUAGACAGGCGGCUGUGGAGCACGGCUCUGGCCUCUGAGAUGCCUGGGGCCAAAGCCAAGGGUGGAUAGAUCUGUGUUUCUGUGCCUCACAGCAUGAACCUAGAUAGGUGAUGCUUCCUGGGAGAAGCAGGUUUAAUCCAGGCACUGCUUUCUACAAAGAGCUGUUCUCAGAGGGCUUCUCUGAGGUCAAGGCAGGGUCUUCUGCCAAGGCAUGCUGGGUGGGUGGGGUCCCAGACACCCAUGGCUGCAAUGAGAUUUGCAGGAGAUGCAGAUCACCUCAGCCCAGUGUUCUUCAUAACCUGUCCCAGUGUCUAGGAGCUCCAUAACAUUCAUCCUGUGACCCUAACACUAACCCUGAUCCUCUACCUAACACUGACCCUACCAAUAACCCUGACACUAACCCUGACCCUAACACUGACUUUAAUACUGACCCUACCAGUGAUCCUGACAUGAACCCUGACCCUAACCCUCACUGUAUCGCUGACUCUCACUGUGACACUGUGACCAAGACCCUGACCCUGACCCUAAGUCUAGCCCUAAACCUGAUCGUAACACUAACACUGACCAUGAACUUGACCCUAACUCUAACCCAGGCUCUAACCCUAACCCAGAACCUGACCUUAUGAUACUGAUACCCUGAUGCUGACGCUGACCAUAACCCUAACCACCGCCCCAACCCUAACCCUGACCUUAUGACCUUAUGACCUUGAUCCUAACCCUAACUCUGAACCUAACUAUGACACUGACUCUAGUCCUGACCAUAAUUCUGAUCCUACUGCUAACCCUAACCUUGACCCUGACCCCCCAACUCACACCCUGACCAGGACCCUAACCCUAUGUUUGAACUAAAUGUCUUCACGUAUUAGGGAUGUUUUAAGGUUCUUGUAAGUUUGGAUGCAUCUUGCUGACUUGCAUUAUUUAUAAUUACAAACACAAGCAGCUAUGAUUGAGCUUUGCAGCAAAUGUUUUCCUUCUCUUGACUUCUGGGUCAGUUUAAUUAAAAUGUGCUUUGCUGUAGAAGUCAAGCUUUUUAAAAAACCAUUGAAUUUAUUGGACAAAACACAAUAUGUUGUAGCUGAGACCACACGGCCAUUCAGAGUCCCAGAUUUUGCAUUUUUGUAUGUAUCAAAACAGUCUUGUUAUCCUUACUGCCUUUAGAAGUAUUCUGCUUGACAUACAUAAAAAUGCAUAAUUCAAAAUACUGAUUUCAUUUGAUUCAUUGCCAAAAGUAAGUUUGAAAUCCACAAACACAUAGACACAGACGCACAGCAGCAGGCAGAUGCUGAGAGACCGUCUCAGGCACAUGGGAUGCACACACAGACACACGGGGAAGCACACACAGACACACGGGGA